rnacentral:misc_RNA from 1 species
CAGCGCAUCUCUCAUUCGGUUUGUCUAUUUUUUUACUGGUUGGCCUCGUCGCCAGCUCUGCACAUCCACCGUUAUAUCGUCGCGAGCCCUCAUCAUCACCCCUCCCUCUUUCAUCGCGUUAUGUGACUGCUCUGUUUGGCUCACCUGAAAGACUCAUCGGAAGCGCUGCAUUUGCCUGCUGUUCUUUCCUCCUUAGCGCCGUCUUCUUUUUGCUCAAGCCUCGCUACUUCACCUCCUGGAUAGGGUAACUUGACUUUGCGCGUAUUGCGAGUGUGUUGUCGUAGCUCGGGCUUUCCAUUCGUUUCUUCGUUUUUCUUUUUGGUUGCUUGUUGUCUUCCGUGUGAGUGUGCGAGCGCAGGGGCGCAGCGUCUGUCCACGCCUCGCGAAGCCUGCUGUGGUUCUCGCUUUUUCUCCCUCCACAGGGUGCCCUCCUUCGACGCACAUUCGGCUUCUGCGUGUGCGUCCUCGUCGCCGCUUCACUGGCGCAGGGAGCACUGAUUCACCGUUUUGCUGUUUGUUUGGCGCUCUUUCUCUCCACCCGUAGCUUCGGAUCUAGGCGUUCGUCAUGAGCUCCAGCGGCGGGCCUUCGACCUUAUUGGUGUCGUCGCCGUCCAAGGAUGUGGCUCGGCAUGAGCAACGACAGAGCCGCCUCUGGAUUGCUUUACCGAGUGCGUUGCUCCUUGUAGUUGUGGUCUUGUGCCGCACCGGAAUCUCGUCCUCAGUAGGCUGGGGAGGAGGUAAUGUCGUUCGUGGGAGUAUCACGGAGACAGCGUGUGGAGCACACGGUGCUCCAGGAGUCGCCGAGAGCAGCUUUACUGAGACGCCUGUGGAUAGCACUGUGCUGAUGCUGUACUCGCCGGACGAUGCUGGGGAGCGGUUCUGCUACAGCGACGCGACGGUCGGGGGCAGCGGCGUGGAGCGGGAGUUCCUGCGCGUGGCGGCGUCGUACGUGGCGUCGCCGCACGAGGGGCCGAGGAGCGCGUACUACGACUUCUUCGCUGCGCACAACGCGACGCUGUGGACCGUGGACAGCGCGACGCGCGUUGCGACGCCGAUGCAGCUGGACAUUGUGUACACGUUCGUGAACCCGAGGGCGCCGUCGUUCUGGCGCAACCUUGAGGCGCGGCACGUGCGGUUCGAGCAGCGGCGGUACCGCGACUGGGAGGAGCUGCGGUACUCGCUGCGGUCGCUGCGCGAGUUCGUGCUUGCGAGCGGCGCGCUUGCGCAGUACCACCACCGCCACGCUGCGGACGUGCGGCGGCUGGGUGAGCUUGGGUACCAGGUGAACAUGAGCGACGCUGGCGCGGCAGAUGGGGUUGUGUCGCUGGUGCGGCGCGUGUACCUUGUGCUCUCUGACAGGGACCAGGUGCCUGCGUGGCUUGACACGGAGAGGUUCCCGGAGCUGCGCGUGGUGACGCAUGCGGAUAUGUUCAGCGCUGAUGAGGCGGCGUGGGUGCUGCCGACGCUGAACUCGAACGUGAUAGAGUCCGGGCUGCAUCGCAUUCCGGGCAUCUCGCGCUUUUUUUUCUACUUCAACAAUGAUAUGAUAGUUGGUCGUCUGCUGUCCUUCUUCGACCUGUUCCGCCCUCUGUCGCCGCCGCGCCAGAUCUUGGAGAUGGCCAACCUGCAGCAGGCAAAUGCUGUGUGUGACAUCAGGACAGCUCAGCUCUACAGUGACGAUAAACGAGUCCCGCUUCUAUUCGAGACCGUAUUGAACAGUGACGGCUACGUGCGAGCCCCAUCCAGGUCAACUCUGGCACGCAUAGGAGCGUGGCUCGUUCCUCAGUCGUGGUGCGCCGAGCUGGAGGAUAUGCAUCCUACAGGGAGGUUGGUGGACCGAACGCUGCGCUUCUUGUGCAGACCAGCGCAGUUUUCCAAGCCUAAGCUGAAUAGCAAUAAUGCCCUAAACCAUCUCGCUCGUUAUUACAUUCAGGAAGAGCUGCCCGGGAUCGUUCCGUCGAUGGAGUACGCUCAUAUGCCUCGUGUGGUUGAUCGCGAAGUGCUACAGACGAUGUUGGACGACCCCAUAAAUGGCUUCGCCGAGACUGCGAAGGAGAUGCGCAGAGCGUAUCUACGCAGCAUGAACAACUUUUCCCCUGCUCACAUCUACGAGUCGUUUGCGUUGGCGAUGCGCCGCGCACGUACGGCGGCGCUUUGGUGCCAGAGUGACGAGCGAUGUGUCGCCUCGCUGCGACACAUGCGUCCCCUCACGACCCGUAAGUGGCGGCGGAGGCGCAAUACGUCCUGCCCUGGCCACCCGCUCGAGGGAGGCAGCCAAACGGUACGGCUGCAGCACAGCGAUAUGCUCGCGCGCUGGAGCUCCUACGAGGAAAAAUGGCUGAGCAGCAUCACCACUGUGCCGGUGUCGCCGACGAAGACGGCGUAUAACAGCCUCUCUCGCCGCAGCGGUAGUGUGCAGAGAACAGCCACCUCCGUGCCGGCUUCAGCGCCGCACCGACUCUACAAGCCGUCUCAGGUGGUGCGCACGCUCUUGUCGGAGAGAACGGCAAGCGCACCUCAGAAGGUGAGCCACGAAAUGAUCAGUGGCUGCCGGAAUCGCGGCUCUGUAGACGCGUCACGGGUGCAGUCUUUGGUGCUGGAUGUGCAUCACCACGUCUCCAUGACUGACCUGACGUUUCGAUUCUUUAUCGUGGAGGACUUUCAGCGCCUUGCGAUCAUUCUCUCUCGCCUGGAGCACUCCGCUAGCAAUGAGGCGGGUGGGUCUGCGUCGACGGCCCGGCGUGCAUCGAUGUCGCCUCUGUUUAUUACCGUGAACGACGAUCUUGAUAGUGAGGUAAUGCGUAAGCAGCUGCGCACGAGCCGCCUAAUGGGGUGGAAUGAGUCUCAUCUCACCCAGGCAGCCUUUCAUCGCUUGCUGUGGCUCUGCUCCCACCUGGCUCCUCAGGCACCAUGGGAGCGCCGGCCGGUGCCUGCGUAGCUCCUCUGCAUGUACGUUGCCGUCGUCCGCUUUCCAUUAUGUUGUGUGUGUGUGGCCUGAUUGGUCGGAAGCGGUAUUGUCCGUGCGGCACACCUCUUCUGCCGUCACCUUGCCGUGUGCAGAAGUCGGACGAGGGGUUGACGUUGACGAGAGCGUUGGGGAACGACCCGCCGCACCCUGCUGCUGAUUUUUUUCGAUGUCUGCGCAUGUGUAGUUGGUGUUUCUUCCCCCCCUCUUGCUGGUGGAUAUCUCCGAUUCUGGAGAACUGAGCAUGCGCUCUCUGGCCCAUUUUCGUGUUGCUUUUUUUUUCGCUUGGGUUCGUUCUAUAGCUGGCGACGCAUCACCGAAACGAUAGCUCAGUUCUGUGAAACGAAUACCAACAGUCGUUGAGAUCCACGCGUCUACCCUCCCCCCUCUCUCUGUUCUACGUACCCGCACACUCACAAAACACUUCGUGAGGAAGAAGGAAACGCCUUGCUUUCGUCAUGGUAUGCCCGCUUUCCUUGUCUUCCCUUUCUCACGGCCUGUGUGUGUGUGUGCGUGUGCGUGGGUGCGUCUGUAUCGUUUGGGCGUUGUUAUCUUUGUUUGGUCAGCCUUUGUUUGCUUAUGUAUCCGCUUUUCUGUGCCGCUCUGUCACGAGCAGGCCGGUGCGUGUGCACGCCUUCCUGUGCAAGUACGUGUAGGUUACAUGUCAUGCACACAUGUACCUCUCUUCCGGCUAAGAGCCCCUCUGGUAUUGCGAUUUCCUCCUCUUUUUCAUUUUAGCCUUUUGCCUCUUCCAUUGCCCGUCGCCCUUGAAGCAUGCCGUUGCGUUGCCUACUCUGUGUCUUGUGCAAGCGCCCUAUCAUUCUCUUCUUCUCCCUUUGCUCUUGCGUCGGCGUCACUGUGUUUUGUCUGCCGCGCAGUGCUUUGGAAAGACCUAUCGAUUCGCCGUCUGCCCGCUUUUUCCUCCACGCGUUACAGUCCUCAUGUGUGUGUGUGUGUGCUCGUUUAUUUGUGUGUAUGCAUGUUGUUGUCGUGUCUUCUCCAAUGCCGCCGUGGCUGCAUACCGUCACUAUCACUGUCUGGUGGACAUCACUAUCCUCCCCUCACUUCUUUCGUGUUUUUUUUUGCUAUUAUGAAAAAAAAUUUUUGUCCCUUUCAGAGACGCGGUAAUACCCUGCCUUGCCCCCUUCCCCCUGUCUCCGUCUCCGUGUCUCUGUCCUCUUCCUUUUCCUCUCUCGAUUUCUCCUUCUUUAGCGCGACUUUUUAUCGCUGUAAGUGACAUAAAAGGCGGAAGAAGGCAACCACUAUUUAUGACCCCCGACAAACCAUCCAAGUCUCCUCGUUGUGCCCCUCCCUUCUCUCCCCUUCUCUUUCUCUAUCGUAAGAGAGGGCGAGAUGGAAUAGCGAUGUGGCUGCUGUACCUGCUGGGCGGCACCUUCCGUGCCACCCCACCCCCCUCCGCUAUGGUGCCUGCAGUAAGGGCGGAAAUGGGAAAAAGAGUUCAGAUAAAAAAAAAUAGCGAUCAAUAUGGAAAGGCAACGAAACACAGACAACAACGGCUAGGCUCCGCCGCGCUGCACAGGGUAUCGGCACACCCAGCAAGCAUUUUGACUCCUCUUCGCGCAGUGACGAGUCUAUGCACCGGCGUGCACCAGCUCUGGUGUCUCUCAGCUGCUCUCUUCUGUGCCAUGCUUCAGGGUUACCUUUUUUUUUGUUUUUCCUUUGUUCCUCUGCGAUCUGCGAGU